CCUACGGGAGGCAGCAGUGAGGAAUAUUGGUCAAUGGACGAGAGUCUGAACCAGCCAAGUCGCGUGAAGGACGAAGGUGCCAAGCAUUGUAAACUUCUUUUGUCAAGGGACAAAAUCAGGCUCGAGAGCCUGACCGAGGGUACUUGAUGAAAAAGCAUCGGCUAACUCCGUGCCAGCAGCCGCGGUAAUACGGAGGAUGCGAGCGUUAUCCGGAUUUAUUGGGUUUAAAGGGUGCGUAGGCGGGAUGUUAAGUCAGCGGUAAAAGGCCCGGGCUCAAACCCAGGAGAGCGUUUGAAACUGGCUGUCUUGAGGUGUCGAGAGGUAUGCGGAAUGCGCAGUGUAGCGGUGAAAUGCUUAGAUAUUGCGCAGAACUCCGAUUGCGAAGGCAGCAUACCGGCGGCGAUCUGACGCUGAGGCACGAAAGCGUGGGUAUCGAACAGGAUUAGAUACCCGUGUAGUC
rnacentral:rRNA from 1 species